rnacentral:sRNA from 1 species
GGAAAGGAAGAAAGGUGAUCAUUUGAAAAGUGACAACUGAACCCAUUCAUUCAUUAAAACAUUUUGUGUUGAUCUAUGAUUAACUAUCUGUAAUCACUGCUUGCAUUAUAUUUAGCUCCUAUGUCUUUUUUUCCCUUUAUUACUGAGAAAUGAAGACUUGAAAACUAUGCUAAAAUCUGCAUAAUAGUAGAUAAUAGUACAUGAGAACGUAUCUUUCAAUUGUUAUGCAUUAUUUGUGGAAUAUAUAUCCCACAAUUUGAUUUGAUAAUUGAUACACACAGAGGGAGGGAGGGGGGGGAGAGGGAGAGGGAGAGAGAGCGAGCAGGUGCGCAAGCACAAGGCGUGAUUCUACUGGGUUAUAACUUUAUUUUGUAAGGUAUAACUGUCAUUUCUAAAUGAUGAAGCAGGGAAACCACAUCUCCGCUUAGCGUUGUGGUUCCCUUCACAGUUGUUUAUGUAUGAUCUGUCACAUGAGUUUGCAAAAACUAGUUUCUCUGGAAGGAAAGUUCAUCAAAAGGAUACAACUUUAAAAGUUAAAAAGUGAAAUAACUAGUGUGUGUGUGUGUGUGUGUGUGUGUGUGUGUGUGUGUGUGUAGGAAUAGACAUAGAAGGUUUCAGGUUAAUUGUGAUACAAGAGAAAGCCAGAAGCCUGCUAAUGUUUUUACAUUCUGAAAGUUCUAGUAUUUAAGUACCGAAUGUUAAAGAUUUACUUCUAAUUUUUUUAAAAAAGAUUUUCCUCUAACUGAAGGAAUAUCAGGACAUGACUAAUUUCAACAGCCUGCACUCUGCCUUAGAAACUUAACACAGCACGAUUAUGCAAAGGGUUUUAGUCCUUGCCUUUAGAAAAGUUACAUUAACCCAUUUUUUAAAAAUCAAAUGAAAGCAUAUUAUAAACAAAAAUACAAAUAUUAAAAAACAACAAUUGUCAGAAUCUGAAUGAGCUACUAAAAGAAACCAAGAAUUUUUUCUUGCAAUAACCAGAUCCUUUAAAAGGACUGAGAUUUCCAGGUAUUUACUGAGAUUGUUCCAGAUGAGAAAAGACAGUGAUGAGCAAUUAAUGGUCUUUUUUCUUGUCUAAUUGACUGAAAGAGCUCUUUGAUGCAAGAACCUAUGAUUUAAUCAAGUAUGCAUUAGGGGUCCAGUAUGGUACCUAGCACAGUUCACCACUGAGGUUGUCUAUAUUUUGUGGCUGCAUUACUGAAGAAAAGGCGCACAUUAGAUGCUUUGUUCUUGGUUGAAGGUCAAAACCAAAAAUGAUAAAAAUUUCGUGCUUUAAAAAACAAAUAUAAAAAUCUAGGAGGGAUUUAUAAGUCUAUGUAUACAAAAGUGCUUAAUAAUCAAAACUCAGAAAAACACAAAGCACGGAACAAAGGUGUUAGUCUAAGUACAAAAGAUUUUUUUUUCUUUAAAAGAGUUCAGUAUGAGCUGGCAUUGUUAGGGAAAACCUCACGAAGGAGGGAUCUGACAUGAGACAUAAAUAACUGGAAAGCAGCCAAGCCAGGCGUUAUUAUUCAUCAUUCGGUGCUUUUGCCUCAAGGCUCAGUUGGCACAGAUUGUGGUAUUCCCUCUCCGUAUCAAACCGGCCUGUGCCUUCCCCUACGCACGCACACCACCCCUCCUCCUAUCACACCAAUCCAGGCAAAAUACUAAAGCAAUUUUUAUUUAUAUGUCUGCACACGCACAUGCACGCACGCACACACACACUCGCACGCACACAACUUUUCCUCGUACUGCCCUCCACCAAACUCGGAAACUAAACUAGGAAGCAGAGGAGUGCGGAAGCCACCAGUUCCUCAAUUAGUUUGCAUAACAGAAAAAUAAAGAUUGGAAGGACGUUUCCUCCGGUCGCCCGCAGCGGGCAACCCAAUCGCGCCACCCUUCACCUCGUGACGCCUGGGUCGUCUGGCACUACCGGCUGGUCACACCUUCCAUGGAAACCGCCGGCUCCAAACAGCCUGCGGAGAGACGCCCGGGUCCGAGCGACGCCUCCUGCCGGCCGCGGUCUGCGCAGCCACGACCUCCCGCCGCGCCCGUUCCAACGGGCUCCGCACUUCGCCGUGAGGGUGAGCAUCCCCGCCCUCACCUUGUCCUCAGGAACCCUGGCGCCCCCUCACUCCCGGCCCACCCUCCUCAGGACCCGACCUCCCCGCAGCCACUCACGGAAAGAUAAUUACUUCUGGUUGCCACAGCACAGAGGAAACAAUGACCAGCGUGACUAAGAGAGCUCCGUGAAAGACUUGAGAUUUGAAAACCAGCUUUGUCCUUUGGUAUCGCUAAGCUGAGAUCACAGGAGAACACAGCUACGUGUUCAAAUAGUGAACCAGGAGCCCCUUACCUGAGCUGUCAGUAGUAUAAGAACAGAAGAUUACUGAGGAUUAGACAACAGUGAUCUCAGAAUGCUUCAGACUACCCAAAAGUGCUAGAAAGGAGACAAGAUUUUCAGGUGAAGAACAACAGGAAAGCCCUUUGACACAGCCGAGUGUUGAUUCAAUCCAGUCGCAGUGUACCAGCUGCUGUCCGGGAGACACCUUGUCUGCUUUGACCUGUCAGGAAAUGAAGAAUGGAAGCAGCUUCUAGAUCACAGGGUGGUCACUGGUCACACUAUGUGAGGACUCUGAAUCUACCUCUACAGAAAGGAGGAGGAUGUGAGGGCAGGACUCUCAUUGUUCAUCAAUUCUGUCUUCCCCUGCAUGCUGACAACCAACGUACCAUACCUGGAAAUCAUAAGCAAGAGCCGUUUAACUUGGAAUUAAACAGUCUAAAACCUAGGUUUUGAAACACACUUUGCCGAGGUGGUGUGCGGAUAGGACCUGGCCUUCUCCUUUACUUGGCUCACUAUGUUGCAGCUCUUAAAUGGAUGGACCGUUUAAAUGUUCCUCGAUUCUCCACAGACCAAAUUUAAUCCACUGACUUGACCUUCAAAACAUGCAGGAGCCAGUCACAGUCAUUGUUAUUGGU